rnacentral:rRNA from 1 species
AGCGAACGCUGGCGGCAGGCUUAACACAUGCAAGUCGAGCGGGCGUAGCAAUACGUCAGCGGCAGACGGGUGAGUAACGCGUGGGAACGUACCUUUUGGUUCGGAACAACACAGGGAAACUUGUGCUAAUACCGGAUAAGCCCUUACGGGGAAAGAUUUAUCGCCGAAAGAUCGGCCCGCGUCUGAUUAGCUAGUUGGUGAGGUAAUGGCUCACCAAGGCGACGAUCAGUAGCUGGUCUGAGAGGAUGAUCAGCCACAUUGGGACUGAGACACGGCCCAAACUCCUACGGGAGGCAGCAGUGGGGAAUAUUGGACAAUGGGCGCAAGCCUGAUCCAGCCAUGCCGCGUGAGUGAUGAAGGCCCUAGGGUUGUAAAGCUCUUUUGUGCGGGAAGAUAAUGACGGUACCGCAAGAAUAAGCCCCGGCUAACUUCGUGCCAGCCGCCGCAGUAAGAC